GGUCAAUUCAGAGGGUGGUGCUCACUUUAUGUAAUUAUUUAAAUUUUUAUUUAUAUUUAUAUUUUGUAUGAUUGUUGUUUUAAUUGAUUUUUUAUUUUUUUCGUUAAUUGAAUGAUUGGUAGAUUAUCAGUUUCUUUCUCUAUUGUAUAGGUGUGUGGCUGAUUACUUGCAUCAUGACUGGAUCUAUGAGUACAAUGAAUCAAGUUGUAAAUAUGGAUGG
rnacentral:lncRNA from 1 species